CGUACACUCCUACGGGAGGCAGCAGUGGGGAAUAUUGGACAAUGGGCGCAAGCCUGAUCCAGCCAUGCCGCGUGAGUGAUGAAGGCCCUAGGGUUGUAAAGCUCUUUCACCGGAGAAGAUAAUGACGGUAUCCGGAGAAGAAGCCCCGGCUAACUUCGUGCCAGCAGCCGCGGUAAUACGAAGGGGGCUAGCGUUGUUCGGAAUUACUGGGCGUAAAGCGCACGUAGGCGGAUCGAUCAGUCAGGGGUGAAAUCCCAGGGCUCAACCCUGGAACUGCCUUUGAUACUGUCGAUCUGGAGUAUGGAAGAGGUGAGUGGAAUUCCGAGUGUAGAGGUGAAAUUCGUAGAUAUUCGGAGGAACACCAGUGGCGAAGGCGGCUCACUGGUCCAUUACUGACGCUGAGGUGCGAAAGCGUGGGGAGCAAACAGGAUUAGAAACCCUGGUAGUCCCA
rnacentral:rRNA from 1 species